rnacentral:rRNA from 1 species
AUACAUGCAGUCGAGCGAAUGGAUUGAGAAGCUUGCUUCCCAAGAAAGUUAGCGGCGGACGGGUGAGUAACACGUGGGUAACCUGCCCAUAAGACUGGGAUAACUCCGGGAAACCGGGGCUAAUACCGGAUAACAUUUUGAACUGCAUGGUUCGAAAUUGAAAGGCGGCUUCGGCUGUCACUUAUGGAUGGACCCGCGUCGCAUUAGCUAGUUGGUGAGGUAACGGCUCACCAAGGCAACGAUGCGUAGCCGACCUGAGAGGGUGAUCGGCCACACUGGGACUGAGACACGGCCCAGACUCCUACGGGAGGCAGCAGUAGGGAAUCUUCCGCAAUGGACGAAAGUCUGACGGAGCAACGCCGCGUGAGUGAUGAAGGCUUUCGGGUCGUAAAACUCUGUUGUUAGGGAAGAACAAGUGCUAGUUGAAUAAGCUGGCACCUUGACGGUACCUAACCAGAAAGCCACGGCUAACUACGUGCCAGCAGCCGCGGUAAUACGUAGGUGGCAAGCGUUAUCCGGAAUUAUUGGGCGUAAAGCGCGCGCAGGUGGUUUCUUAAGUCUGAUGUGAAAGCCCACGGCUCACCGUGGAGGGUCAUUGGAAACUGGGAGACUUGAGUGCAAAAGGAAAGU